rnacentral:rRNA from 1 species
UACGUAGGGACCGAGCGUUGUCCGGAAUCAUUGGGCGUAAAGAGCGUGUAGGCGGCCACUUAAGUCCUGCGUGAAAUCUUGCGGCUCAACCGCAAGCGGUCGUGGGAAACUGGGUGGCUAGAGUGCGGGAGAGGAGAGUGGAAUUCCUGGUGUAGAGGUGAAAUGCGUAGAUAUCGGGAGGAACACCUGUGGCGAAAGCGGCUCACUGGACCACAACUGACGCUGAGGCGCGAAAGCUAGGGGAGCAAACAGG